rnacentral:rRNA from 1 species
ACGGGUGAGUAACACGUGGGCAACCUGCCCUUGAGACUGGGAUAACUUCGGGAAACCGGGGCUAAUACCGGAUAAUAUAAGGAACCUCCUGGUUCCUUAUUGAAAGAUGGUUUCGGCUAUCACUUAAGGAUGGGCCCGCGGCGCAUUAGCUAGUUGGUGAGGUAACGGCUCACCAAGGCGACGAUGCGUAGCCGACCUGAGAGGGUGAUCGGCCACACUGGGACUGAGACACGGCCCAGACUCCUACGGGAGGCAGCAGUAGGGAAUCUUCCACAAUGGACGAAAGUCUGAUGGAGCAACGCCGCGUGAGUGAUGAAGGCCUUCGGGUCGUAAAGCUCUGUUGUUAAGGAAGAACAAGUGCGAGAGUAACUGCUCGCACCUUGACGGUACCUAACCAGAAAGCCACGGCUAACUACGUGCCAGCAGCCGCGGUAAUACGUAGGUGGCAAGCGUUAUCCGGAAUUAUUGGGCGUAAAGCGCGCGCAGGUGGUUUCUUAAGUCUGAUGUGAAAGCCCACGGCUCAACCGUGGAGGGUCAUUGGAAACUGGGGAACUUGAGUGCAGAAGAGGAAAGUGGAAUUCC